GACGAACGCUGGCGGCGUGCUUAACACAUGCAAGUCGAACGGAAAGGCCCUGCUUUUGUGGGGUGCUCGAGUGGCGAACGGGUGAGUAACACGUGAGUAACCUGCCCUUGACUUUGGGAUAACUUCAGGAAACUGGGGCUAAUACCGGAUAGGAGCUCCUGCUGCAUGGUGGGGGUUGGAAAGUUUCGGCGGUUGGGGAUGGACUCGCGGCUUAUCAGCUUGUUGGUGGGGUAGUGGCUUACCAAGGCUUUGACGGGUAGCCGGCCUGAGAGGGUGACCGGCCACAUUGGGACUGAGAUACGGCCCAGACUCUUACGGGAGGCAGCAGUGGGGAAUAUUGCACAAUGGGCGGAAGCCUGAUGCAGCAACGCCGCGUGCGGGAUGACGGCCUUCGGGUUGUAAACCACUUUCGCCUGUGACGAAGCGUGAGUGACGGUAAUGGGUAAAGAAGCACCGGCUAACUACGUG
rnacentral:rRNA from 1 species